AAAUGAACAGGAGAAAGAUUGAGAGCGCAAGUAUGAUACACAGAAUUAUGCAGCAGACUGCUCCUCAGUGGUAGGAGCUUCUUUCUGGGGUGAAUCUGCAGUACCGUUAUUGGCAGCAUCCUUUGGUUGUGAUUCAGGUGAAACUUCCGGUGCUGAUCCAUUAGGUUUAGGUGCUGAUCCAUUUGGUUUAGUUGCUGUUUCCUUUCCGUCCUUACCUUCUUUGGAGUCUUUAGCAGGUGCAGGAGGAGGAGGAACCAUGUGAAGUGGUGGCGUAUGUUUCAGCUUUAACAAUAUCUGCCGCAUCCUAGAAAGAUCGGUGGGUUUGCCUGGCUUUGGGCCUUGGAGGACAGUAACUGAUGGAUUCUUAUCCUGAUCCUUUUUGCCUCUUUUCUUCUCAAUGUUGGCAACCUCACGGGGAAUUAUCUCCCCAAUUGCUUUCCAGUAAUUUUUGUCAGCCUCUUUGUGAAAAUUCUCUUGAUUGGCCAAGUAUAACUGUUCCACAAACACAGUUCAUCUCUAAAAAUUAAAAGAAGAGAACAAAAAUCACAUUGUAAAAAGUAAUGAUAAUGUAGGUGUGUAAAAAUUACCUUCUCCCUUUCUCUGUUUUGAACCUUGUUUGUCUCAACAUUGAGCUUCCUUUUCUCAUAGAAACCCACUUUAUAAUCCUCAGCUUCCUCAAUAAUCUUUAAUCUCAUUUCUUUUUCCCUUUUCUCCUUCUCGUCUAGUUGAAUAGCAUUUUGACUGCACAACGAAUUCAUUUUCAUUGUCAACCGAGUUCAGUAAACAUAUAAUAGAUCUGAAAUCUCCAAAAAUCAGAUUGCAAACAAAUACUUGUCCUACAUUUAAGGUUCAGAAUAAUUUUGCCUCAUAUGACCAAACAAAUAGUAUUUGUAUUAAUAGUAUUUUGCCUCACUAAGUGGGAUUGACUACAAGGAUCAAACGAUGCCAUAAAUUCUUGUCAUACACCAUGUUUCAAGAUCAACCAUUUAAAUUCCUCUUAAUAAGUUGAUCUAUUGUUUUCUUUGACCUCACUCUACUUUUAAUUAUUAGACUAUCCUUCAUUUGCUCAACCCUUGUUGAUGCUUUUACGAAUCUUUUUGCACAUGUUCAAACCACCUAAGAUGGGAAGAAGAAAAAAAAUCUACAUUGAGAGCUACUCCAACUUUCUUUCUGAUGAUUAAUUUGAUGCAUCCUUAUUCCUGCAACAUUGAACUUACUUUUUAGUGACUAUUUACCAUCUGACACUGGGUUCACACUUUGCACAACAAUGCAGAGCUUAUAGUUUUGUGGUAAACUUUUCUUUAUACUUGAGUGACACUACUGUAUUCACAUUGCAAACAUAUCCUAAUUUCAUCUAUCCUACUUUGAUCUUCUGGUUCAUGUCUUCGUCUAUCUCCCAUCAUUUAAUAUGAUGGACUGAAACCACAAGACUUGUGAUCUGGUAUGCUGUCUAAUUCCCACUUCUAUACUAAAAUUUUGCUGCCUCUUGCUAAACUUGCAUUCCAUAUAUUUUGUUUUAAUUUUUAUAAACAAAAGUUGUGCUUCAGUUGAAAGGGAGAUGUGGUGCAAUUGUUGGAGUUUCUACCACGUGAUUGGAGGUCAAGAGUGUGUGUAAUGGAAUCAACAUCUCUACAGCCUUUUUUAAUCAAUGGAUAUAAAUCCUUACUUUUCCUACGAAAAUGAAUCCAUGAUCCAUCACAUAAAGAAACCAAAUUCAAAGGAAAAAAAUUAACAAGAAAUAAAGGGUAAUGUGUUGCAACAAUGAGAUAGGAACAUCAUAAAACUGCACAAGGAUUAACUCAAUACAAAAUUCACGCUUGACAAGUAUGAACAUAGGCAUAUGUAAACAUUACGAUACGAUGUUUACCAAGAUUCUGCCAACACAGACUAUUAGCUUAAAACGCGAUACGCAUACGUUUGGAUUUGCCAACACAGACAACUAGUUUAAAACACGAUAUGCAUACGUUUGGAAAACCCUUAGAAGCACUGUGAUAGUCUAUUUGAAGCAAAAGGGACCCCAGCGUUCCUACCUUCUAUUUUUGACUAGAUAUUUUACUCAAACCUAUGCUGCAUUGUUGUCAAACAUACCCUGCAUGUUUCUCAUAUGUCCCUAAGCACUCUCAUUAAAUCCAAUAAAUGUUUUCAAGACAAUUUGAUGCUAUUUAUUCACAUCAAACUUUAUCAUCAUCUGCUAAUCUAUAAAUCACUACCUAGAUCUAAGUUUAAAAGGCGGAGAGACGAUCGUGUACAAAAGAUCUCUCCCCAAUUGAUCAACAGACAUAUUCAUCCAAUAUUUCAAUCCGCAUAAACGAGCACGCAAAACAAAUCCUACAAACUACAGAAUCCGAUUAAAAUCCAAACUGCAAUCCAACAGAGGAUAAAACUAACACUCAAAAGCUCGUCACCACGCAAGAGUUCACUAAAUCAGCAUCUGGUUUACUAAAUCACAACCCUCAAAAAAACUUUGUUUCAGCUCAAGUAAACUAUUUCAAUUUUCAAGUGAAAUUUGAAACAAACAAAGUUCAAUUCACGUCUUUCAACUUCCUAAUACCUGAUUCAAAAUCCUAAGCAUUCAAAAGAAAACAUCAAGUAAAAAAGAAAACUUUAAGAUCAAGCAAUUAGCAUUGAAAGCAAAAUUAGCAUAGAUCUAAGCAGAUUCAAACGAGAUCUAGCAGAUUCAAACAAACUGAAACACUCACCGGCGCCAUUCCCGAAGAACGUUACCUUCCUCCGGCUCCAUCUCAGCAGGAGGAGGAAGCACUGGACCAUCGGAGACAAAAACGUCGUCAUCGUGACCGCCGUAACCGUUUCCGUUUUCCAUCGCAUGCACUGGUUCGAAGGGAGACUGAGCGUAACUCGGAUCCUGAUCGCUGAAUCCGAAUACAUCCGGAGAUUCCGGCGCUGCUGUUGUGUGAUCUACGGGGACAUCUUCGGCGGAGUAGCUGGAGAAUCCGCCGUAUCCGGAGUAGCUGUCGUCGUCGCCAGCGGCGAAGUGGUCUUCGUUGACGGUGAAGGACAUGGCUGCGAUUUUCUCUCUCUAGAAAGUUGAUAGAGAGAAAGAGACUGAAAGAAUCGUCUUUUGAUUUUAACAGAACAUAACACUGCAUCUAAUAAGGAGCUUUUCCUUUUAUUUCUAUUUUUUUAUUCAUCAUGUAAUAAAACUAAUUUAAUUUUAAUAACAUUAUUAUAGUGUAAAUUAUUCUUAGACUUCCAAAUGAACCAAUAAGUUACCAUAAGUGGAACUUAAUUGGAAGAAGUGACAUGUAUGGUAAAGUAGUUCGUAAAUUUAGUAGUUGAGUAAAAAGCUGCGGAGGAAAAUAAAAUGACAUUAUGUGGAUUGGGUCAAGGUCUAAUCCAUCAAUGUCGAGUAAUCUUAAGUCAUUGGCUUAUAGGCAGACCAUCGUAUGAACUCGUCUUAUAGACAUUUUAGAAGAUCGAGUCAGGACGGUCUGAAAUAGAUAAACUCAUGAUUCGUCUACAUUGAUCCAUCAAAACAACGAUCUAAGGUACCAAUCCCUAAAUAACUCUGCCACAUAACAGUAUUUAUGCCAACACAAAAUGUGACGAGAAUGAUUUAACCGAUUUAAAAAGUGAUGAAUGACAAUUAACUAUCUCGCUAACAGUAGUUAAUCGCCAUUCAACAAAUGGUCACAAUUUUUAAUGAGCAAUUGCUAGGUGUUAAAAGAAAAAUUUCGCUAAAAUAAGCCAAUUUAUAAUUAGAUUAAAGAAAUAAAACAAAACGCAACGAAUGAGUUGUAACUUCCCAUAAAUCGAAAGUGAACCUUUAGGCCCUCCUAAUAUCCCUAGAGAUAUUGUGGGCCUAAAGAGAAACUCUAACUGAAAAUUACAAUUGAUCAAUCCGAGUAAAUAAAGCCCAGUACUAACCAUUUGUAAAAAUAAAAAAAAAAGAAAAAAGAAUAGUACUGAUCAUUUUGGGGAGGGAAUAGACCAGGCCGCCCGUCAGGGGCCUACUUAAAGCCCGAAUUGGCCUCUCUCGUUUAUUAUAUAGGUUUGGCUGAAGCUUUUUAAAAGCUCAUCAAUUUUAAGAGGUCAAACUAAGACUUAUAGAAAAGUCUGUUAGACCUACCAGAUUGGCCCAUAUAUGUGCAAUUAUAUAUAAUCCAUUAUAUUAAUACAUUUUUUAUUCCUUCAAAUUUUCAAUUCCAACGUGUACACAUACCUCUUAACUCUUACUAUUGUCAUUCUCAUCUCAUUCCAAAUUACAAAGUAAAGAACUCUAUUAGAAAUAAAAAUAAAGACAAUAUAUUAAAUCUAUGCAAUACACGUUUAUUAGUCUCUACAAAAUGGAUGUACAAACUCUACAAAAUUUUAUUGAAUAUACAUGCAAUAUAUACUUAUAAAGUGGAAAAAAAAUGCAUGUGCGACCAGAGUGGGAGUUGUAUUUUAUAUUAAUAUUAAUGAAAAAAGGAAAUGUUCUCAUUUUUAAACCAUUAUAAAAAAAAUAUUGUUUUUAUUUUAUAUUUCUUGAUCAAACAAAUGGGAGAGUGGAAGAAUUGAAACGUAAAAAAAUAGAAGUUGUCUGCCUUUCAUGAGAAGAAAAAAAGUUAUGUUUUAUAACAUCACAAAAAACAACACAAACUUUUAAGAGAUGGUAGGGGAGUGGCAACAUUAUUCAAAAAGUUUGUUAAGAAUCAGUUAGGAGAGAAUUUCUCUGGUUUAGAGCUACGUUACUCUGUCGGUUCUUAGAACUUUGGUAUCAUUUUCUGCUUCUAUUGCCAUAUUUUCACAGUUGUAGAGCUUUUCUAUUGCCAUGUUUUCGUAGAAAGUUUGUGUUUACUAUAUGAGAUUAUAAUCUUUGUAUCUUAUGUGUAUGUGCGUUUUUUUUUUUUAGGCAAAAAAUUAUUUAUUAAAGAAUUAAGUCAUUUACAUAAUGAUUCCUAAUAAAUCUGAAAUAUCUUCCCGCCAAAUCCUAUUAUUAGUGGUCAAAGUCAGUUUGGCUAAAGAAUGGGACACGACAUUAGUUACCCGACCCGAAAAGUUAAAAGCCACCAAAUCAAAAAACCUUCUCCCGAGAUAUAUUCUCUUUCUCGAUGGAAAGGAUCUAAACAAGGUCGUCACUGUGCCCUAAUUGUUGGAUGUGGAAGAAGAAAGAAAGAAAAAAAUUUGUUGUUAUUCAAAAUUCGUGGCGGAAAGAGUGGGGUCAUGGAGGUUACGGUUAUGUAAGUCUUGAACUGUUUGUACACAUUCGGGGGUGCAGGGAGUUACAUUUGCGGAACUUAUGCCUUGAUAUUGUGCUAACCUUGUAUACUUAAGUUAUCAAACUUGGAUAUUGUACUUUCAUGAUCAAUUUAUUUAUUUAUUUUUUAUAUAUUUUAGGGAAACUUUUUAUUAUUAUUGAUUGAUUCACAAAAAAAAAAAAAAACACAAACUUGACCAAUGGUUAUUUUUAGUAAACAAAUAAAUAUAUUAUUUUUGUUGAUAUUGAAUGACCUAAACAAUAAACAAUUUAUAUCAUUUUUUUAUAAUAACUAGCGAAAAGAUGGGACUCACGUGCUUGUCUUUCUGCUAUAUUUAUUGCGCUCACGUUUGAAGAUUAUGAACGGUAUUUUUUUUAUGAAAUUAUGAUUUUGAUUAAAACUAAAAAUAUAAAAAAAAUAAGGAAAAACUAAAAAUAUAAAUGUUUGUUGCUUUCAAGUUAUAACAAACCAAACUAAUCAUGAUUAUCUAUUUCAAUGAUACAAACAAUAUAACAAAAAUAAUAUAAUCUAAUUUUUUUUAAUGACACUAACAACAAUCUUUAUUAUAGAAAAAACUGUUUAAGAGUAUAAUUGAGAUAGUAAAGAAGUAAGUAUAAACAUCCUCAUAUAAUUUGUUACAUUUUUUAAAUGAUAAAGGAAAAAAAAAACAGACAUAAAUAUAUAUAUANAGUUCAUGGAUACCACUUAAAAAUGUGCUUAUGUGGCUAAUGUGUAUUGGUUGGGGUAAAUUACCCACCAUUCUUCCAUAGGUACCCUAGUUGUCACCAUAUAUAUAUAUAUAUAGAUAGAUAGAUAGAUAGAUAGAUAGAUAGAUAGAUAGAUAGGGGGUUGAUAACUUACUCCCAACUAAAAAUAUCAAGGGUAAGUUAACAAGCCUACUCCUACUUAUUAUUUACCAUAAUCUCCAUAUUGUCCUUAAUAAACAUUACUUUAGUGUAUGAGCAUAAUUGUAAUUUGCUUUUUCUAAUAAUAAUUUGUUUGAAACAAUUAUUUUUUUCACGUUGUUUGGCAAGGACAUCUUUAGCGUUUUUUAUGUUAUUUGUUCGUUUUUUUUUUUUCAUAAGUUGGAGAUGCACUUAACUAUGCACAUAUUGACAUACACAUUACUAUUAUUUUCUGUUAAAAGACACAUUAUUAUUUGUUAAAUAUUACAUAUCGCCAAAAUAUAUUCAAUAAAAAAGCAUAAUUUCUUCCCAAGAAACAUGCAUAGUUUCUAUAAUAUACAUUGCGUCUCUCGAUCGUAACUAUUGCAGUACAAUGACACUCAACAUGUUAUUAAAAAAAAAUAAAAUUGCUCAAUAGAUGAGUUAUAUUAACAAGGCUUAAAUAUGUGUCCAGUCUCUGCAAAUAGGUCUCAGUUGAAUUUUAGUCCAUGUACUUACCAAUCCUCCCAAUUUGCCACUGCAAAUAUUAAUCACUUAUAAUUUGGUCCAAAUUAAGAAGCCCUGUGCACGUGGCAGGUGAUGAGCGACGUGGCGCUGAUUGGCGUGUAGUGACUGGGAAUGAGUCAGGCUGACUCAGAUUUUAGGAUGCGAACUACCCAUUUUGCCCUUAAUGAAUCCUGAGACUGUAAAAAGACGAUUUUGCCCCUGACUUUCCACUUCCCUCUCAUUUGUUUCUAAAACACGAUUUUGAGGGGAAAAUUAAAAAAACUGGGGUUCCGAAUUAGAAACCCAGCAAAACCAAAGAAGCAGAAGGUCACAAACGAAGUUGAUUGGAGAAAACGAUUGCUGCGGUGGUGAAAACGAUUUCGCGAGGAGUUGCGGUGCAAACGAUUUCGCUGGUGUUGGAGCUCGUUUAUCGCAGGUGUGUUUGUGUUUUAUUUCUGGAUUUUCUAAACCCUAAAGGUUGAACGUGUGUUAGAUUUGUGUUAAAAACUAAAUUUUUGAAAUAAAAACCGUAAAAAAUGUUGAAAUCGUGUUUGAUUUGUUGAAAACCCUGUUCGAUUUAUGCAUACAAAACCCUAAAUGUUGAACCUGUAUAUUUAUGUUAAAAACCUUAUUCGGUUUAUGCAUUUUCAAAACCCUAAAUGUUGUUUUCGCAAUUUUUUGUACAUGUAUGUGUACUAUUUCUGUUGAUUGUCAUUAUGGAGGUUGUUUUAGUAGGGACUGGUUGAUAAGUUAUACAGGAGGGGAGGUAAGAAGGUUUGAAGGUUUAGACCCUGAUAAGUUUAGUUUUUUUGAAUUAUGUGGGUACGUAGAAGAAGAUUUGAGUAUUAAAAAGGGUACAUAUAGGUUAUGGUGGAUGCCUCAUUACGAAGUAAACUAUAGGGUUGUUAAGGUAGAUGCUGAUGUUAGUGAGAUGAAGGAAUAUGCUUUGAAAGUAAACAAGCCAGUUAACUUUUUUGUAGAACAUGAUGUUGAUGAAGUUAGUAGGUUGGUGGAUGUUCCAAACUGUGUUACUGUUACUAAUAGGGAAGUUGGACAAAGUUCUCAGGUUGAUGUAAAUGGAGAAGGACUAGAGAAGGAAAAGGUAGACAAGAAAGGAAAAUGUGUGUUGGUGUGUUAUGAUGAUGAGAAGUUAGGGAGCAGUGAAGAUGAGUCAGAUGGUGAAUAUUUUGAUGAUAUUGAGCAUGAUAGAGCAUUGGGGGUUGAUGAUGGGUUUGGACCAUAUGAUAUAACUACAUUGGAUAUGAAUGAAGUUGUGGGAAUGGUUGGGGCUAAUGGUAAAGAAGGGGGUAAAGGAGGGGCAUAUGAGAAAGGUUCAAAAACCAAGGAAAAAUCAAAGGUUGAAAAAGAAGAAGAUGAUUAUGAUCCUGAGUGGGAGAGAGAGUAUGAAAGUGAUGAGCUUUAUUCAGAUGACCCUGAUGAGUCAGACUUUGAAAGGGGACCAAGAGCAUAUGUGUUUAAGAUGAGCCAACUAACACCAGCCUUUAAAUUCAAAGUUGGUAUGGACUUUAAGUCAAUUGUAGAGUUCAGAAUGGCCAUUAGGGAGUGGAAUGUAUUAAAUGGAUAUCAAAUUAAGUUUGUGAAAAAUGACAAGGAAAGGUGUAGGGUAGAGUGUAAGGAUAAACACAAUGGGUGCAAGUAUGAGGCCCACUGCAGCAAAGUGGCUAACAGCCAUACAUAUAAAAUAAAGACAUUGGGUGUGGCCCACACAUGUGGUAGGUCAUUAGAUAACUCCAGUGCCAAUGCAAACUGGUUAACCAAUAUUGUUGUGGAAAAAAUGAGGGGUAGUGGUGAACAAAAGGUCAAAGAUAUCAUGAAAGAUCUGAGGAGGCAGUAUUCUGUUGGGGUAUCAUUUCAUACAGCUUGGAGUGCAAAGAAGAGGGCUACUGAAAUAUUAGAUGGUGAUGCAAAGAAACAAUACACUCUAUUGUGGAGGUAUGCAGCUGAGUUAAAGAGGGUGUGUAAUGGGAAUAAUCUCAAGUUUAAUGUUGAGAGAACCUUGUUAACAAAUCAACAAAGAUUCAGCAAGUUUUACUUUUGUUUUGAUGGUUGCAAGCAAGGUUUUUUGGCUGGUUGUAGGCCAUUUAUUGGAGUGGAUGGGUGUCACUUGAAAACUAAGUUUGGAGGUAUAUUAUUAGUUGAUGUUGGAAGAGAUGCAAAUGACCAAUAUUUCCCAUUAGCAUUUGGAGUUGUUGAGAAUGAAACCAAAGAGACAUGGAGGUGGUUUUUAACUUUACUGCUUGAAGAUAUUGGAAACAAAAGAUGGGUGUUUAUUUCAGAUCAACAAAAGGUAUUUAUGAUUAACUUAACUUAAUUUGAAGUUGUGUUUUAUUUAUUUCUUUAUGAUUAACUUAUCUUAAUUUGUUUGUAUGAUUCAGGGAUUGAUGAGUGUGUUUGAUGAAUGGUCUGAUAGAAUUGAACAUAGGUAUCUUAGGCAUCUAUAUGCCAAUUUCAAGAAAUUUUUUGGAGGAGGAACUUUGAUAAGGGAUUUGAUGAUGAGUGCAGCAAAGGCUACAUAUAGACAAGGUAAAAGCAUAACUGAUAUUUUUAUGUUUUACUGCAUAAUUUGGGUUUUAUUAAUAAGGGGUUUGACUGAAUGUGUAUAUGUUUGUGUUUUACUGCACAGCUUGGGUUGUUAAGAUGGAAGAGCUGAAAAAGGUGGAUGUGAAAGCAUGGGAGUGGCUAAUGGGACAUGAUCCUAAAUUAUGGUGCAAGCAUGCAUUUUCAUAUUAUCCUAAGUGUGAUGUAUUAAUGAAUAACAUUUCAGAGGCAUUUAAUGCUACUAUAUUAUUAGCUAGAGAUAAGCCAGUCCUCACAAUGGCAAAGUGGAUUAGAACAUACCUCAUGAAUAGGAUGUCAAAACUUAGGAAUAAGUUAAGUAACUGGCAAGGUGAUAUCAUGCCUAUGCCAAGGAAAAGAUUGAACACUGAGAUUCAGAAAUCUGGAAACUGGAUAGCAACAUGGGGAAUAGGUGAUGAGUUUGAGGUUGAAAUGGUGGGUGGUGGACAUAAGUUUACUGUAAACACUGCAAAUAGGACAUGUAGUUGUAAUUUUUGGGAGUUGGUAGGUAUACCUUGUAGGCAUGCAGUUGCAGCCAUAGGUAAGAGAGAUGGAAGGCCAUAAGACUUUGUCCAUGAGUGUUAUUCUAGAAAGACAUAUGAAGCAUGUUACAACCAUAAUGUGAGUGCCAUUAAUGGGCAAGAUAUGUGGCCUGAGGUGGAAUGUGAGGAGAUGCUUCCACCAAUUUAUAAAAAAGGGCCUGGGAGACCAAAGAAGCUGAGGAGGAGGGAGCCUGGUGAGGCUAGUCAAACACAAGGAAAGUAUAGCAGAGCAAACACAAGCUAUAGAUGCACAACUUGUAACAAAUUUGGCCACAAUGCCAGGGGAUGCAAGAGUCAGACAGUUAACCCUGAAGCACAAAAGAGGAAGGUACCAUAUUACUUUGUUCAUUAGAUUCAACUUGUAAUAAUAAUUAGAUUCAUUAUCUGCUUACUGUUUCUAAUGCAUACUAUGUUUAAUGUUAAAUGAUAGAGGAAAGCACCUAAAAAAACAACAAGGCAAGAGCAGAAUGAAGGGCAAUCAGAACAAAGUUAUGGGCUAGCAGAGGGCACAAGCCAGGUUCAAAGUGAAGUUGUAAGUCAAGGUGAAGCAUAAGUUGAAGUUGGUCAAGCACAAGUUUCUCAAAGGCAAGCACAAGCACAACAUUCUCAGGCAACUCAAGUUGAAAGUAGUCAGGGAUCUAUAAGUACUAUGAUGGGUGAGAAAGUUGAGCCAGUCAAGAAGAAGAGAAAACUUGUUAAGGGACUUCCUAAAUUCAACCCACCAAAACAGGUAAACCCUCCAAAACAACCACCCAAACCACCUGUUGCAUUUAUGAGAACAAACCCACUUGCACUAACACAAACACAAACUAUCAUUGAACCAUCUGCAUCAAUAAACACCACAGUUCACACUGGUAGGCGGUCACAAACAAUUGUAGCACCAUCUGCAAAAGUCAACACAUUUGUACAAGCUCACCCAAACACAAUUAACAUUGCUAAGCCUAGUGCAAAGGUCUACACCAAUGUUAAGACUACCAACACAUUUCAAACAACUGUGAAACCAUCUGUUGAUGUGAGUACAACAGUAAACACAUCAACACAUUCAAAAACAUAUGUUAAACCAUAUACCAUUGUGAAAACUAUUAAAAUCUGUUCCACCCAAACCAUCUGUUGCACCAACACAAGCACCAAGACAAGCAAAGUCAGAAGGUAAGAAGCUUGACUUAGGUAAAGUGAGGAGAAGUGGUAGGAAUGUUUUGAGAACUAAUGCUAACAAGAAGGGACCAGGAAAGAAGAUGGAUGACCCAAUUGAUAUAGAUGAUGAUUGUAAUGCUGAUGCUCAGAAGGAGACUGAUCCCCCUGUCAAAGUUGUCCCAGAGGCAAAGCUUGGAUCAUGUCUAGGCCUCCUUAGAGAAGUUGACACCAUCAAAUAUGUUUAAUGUGUUUUAAUUAGUUGGUUUUAACUGUGUAUGCAACUUGAAUGGAAUUCUGCCUAGCCUUUUGGUUGUGUUUAAGUAUUUUGGUUGUAAUUCUUGGCUAAGACCAAGUAAUGUUGACAGAUUAUGGGUUACACCCUUUAAGUAUCCUAGUUAAGUAUUUUGGUUGUAAUUCUUGUCUAUGCACAAGUUAUGAACAAGUUCUAUGUUGACAUCAUCUAUUAUUAAUGUAAAAUAUUUAUGCUUUCCUAAUUCCAUAUGAUGUAUGUAUGUCAACAGGUUCAAUCACAAACAAAUUUAAUUCAUAAGAUCACAUUUUUAUCAAACCAAACCAACAUAUUACACAUUGUCACAUUACAAGUUCAAAUAAACACAUACACAUUACAUAAACACCACAAACACAAACACAUUGUUAUCUAAAUCCCAAACACGUUACAUUACCACAAACACAUUACUAAUCAUAUUCCAACUUCUCCACUUAACUCACUACUUCUUUGCAUAACAUACCACAAAGAACACCAAACUAACUAUAACAAACAACUUCAACCAGUCAAAUUUCUUCUUUUGUUGCACCAAUUUCAUCUUCAUUUUUUCUUUCUUCCCGUCCCACAUUCCCUGCAAAUUUUCUGCACAGUUACACUUCUCUGAUCUAGUCUCCACAUUUGACAUUCCCUGCUUAACUUCUUCGACCACCGCUUUCGACGACUCUUUCCUUGGCUGCUCAAUUGAUGCAUUUGAUGGAGUAGCUGGCACUGUAACAAAAGGUCUCGUAGAAGGACCAAGUUCAUCAUCCCAAAUUAACAAGUUACAUUUCCUUGCUUUCUGUGCAUCAUGAACAACAUUCCAACAACCCAUUAAUUUUCAUUCUACAAAAACUACAUAAUAAGCAUUAUGAACACACUAACCUGCCAAUUGCGACACUUCCAAAACCUACGCCCCUGAUUCUCUAAAGUAGUUGCAAUGUAGAUCACCAUAGGUUGAUGACAGUAGCACACAGGAAGCAUUCCACGCGAGGUCUGCAUCUCUUAAGGUGGGUCUUUACGAUAACAAGUUACCCAGCCCAUUGAGUAAGAGUCUUGGGUGGAAGUUGCAGUUGACGACAUUUUUUGGAGCUAAAAACGAAGCAAAGCGGAUUUAGAGGUGACGAAUUGAUUAUUGCAAAAGGAUUUGGUGAGAAAUUCGAACAAUAAUAUGUUGGUGAAAUUAGGGUUCUUGUGAAAAUGGAGGAAGAAAAAUAGAGGAAGAAGAAAGAAGAAGAAGUCGUGAAAGAAGAAGAGAGGGAAGAUAUAAGUGGAAAGUCAGGGGCAAAAUCGUCUUUUUACGGUCUCAGGAUUCAUUAAGGGCAAAAUGGGUAGUUCGCAUCCUAAAAUCUGAGUCAGCCUGACACAUUCCCAGUCACUACACGCCACAUCAGCGCCACGUCGCUAAUCACCUGCCACGUACAUAGGGUUUCUUAAUUUGGACCAAAUUAUAAGUGAUUAAUAUUUGCGAUGGCAAAUUGGGAGGAUUAGUAAGUACAGGGACUAAAAUUCAACCGAGGCCUAUUUGCAGGGACUGGACACAUAUUUAAGCCUAUUAACAACUUAAAUGUGUUUUUUGUCAAAAAUAAAUAAAAUAAAACAUUUUUUUAUUUUUAAAUUUCAUAGUUUAAUUAUAACUGGUGCAGUUGAGUUUGUUAAAAAAGUUCUACAGAACGUGCCAUCUCAUUGUUCUGUGUAUCUUAUUGUUGAUUGUUGUUAUGGAGGUGGACUCGGAGAGCUUUGUGCCCCAAAUGUAGUGUUGUUUGAGGGAGCACAGGAAUCUGAAGAGGGUUGGGGAGGAACCGAGGGGUCUAACUUCACGACACACUUUAAGGAUAUUCUUACUGCAUAUAACAACAUACCACCCGAAGAAAUCGCCAAUGAAUUAAAUAGAAGAUUCAACUCUGGUGGUUAUGGACAAAGGGCAAGUCUCUUCUCAUGAACUGCGAUAACCAACCACAUCUCACUAUUUGUGUCUAUUUGUAUUUGUUUCUUGCAAACAUUGAUUCUGAUUUGUAAUUCAUUGUCAACUCCUUAACUUCCUUCCAUUAAUCUUAGGUACAAACACUCAGUCACCGACAACAUAAAAAAGAGAAGUAGUUUUUUAUUUAAAAAAUAAUAAUUAAGACUAAAUUUACAAAAUUAUCCUUUUCUAAUUACAUAAUUAAAAUAGAUGGUAUUGAGUUUUUGGUAAAAAGCAAGUGGGAAUAAGCUUGCUAACUUACUCCUUCAUGUUUUUGGGUGGGAGUAAGUUAGCAAACCCCAUAUAUAUAUAUAUAUAUAUAUAUAUAUAUAUAUAUAUAUAUAUAUCAUGUUUGUUAAUUUUUUUUUAAUAUUUAACUUUAUUCUUAUCUAUUUGUUACAUGUGUUAUUUGUAUUGAAAAUUGAUGGCAUUUUGGAAAAGAGAAAAAGUCAGCCCAAAAGAGUUGGAAGAGGUUAUUUUCUUUAUAUAUAGUAUAGAUAUAUGUGACAAUGCAAUUUGAAAAUAAAAAAUCUUUCGUUAUCUUAAGAUGUUUUUGUUCAUUGGAUGGUGGAGAUUGAGAUCUAAAAGUCAUCUUAACUCCAUUCCCAUGUAGGGGGUGUUUUGGAACAUUGAGAAUGUGGUUUUACCAAGGGAAAAGAAGUAAUAGACUUUAAAUUUGCAAUGAAAUUGACAUCGGAAACAAUUGUAAUUGUUAAGUUUACAAAUAGUUUGCCCCACUAUAAUCGCAACUAUGCGAAAGUACUAACGAUACAAGGAAUCAAAGUGAGAAAAUACAAGAAAUUGAAGUGAGAAAACACAAUAAAUCACAACUACCUCAGCUAUUGAAACACUUCGCCGUCGAUUUGUUCUCCUAUCGCAAGAACUUGCAAGAUAUCGAAGAGAGAAAUUGCAAGAAAUCGAAGUGAGAAAACAUUAGAGUUGUUGAAAACAAAUACUUCGUCGCCAAUUUUAUCUCCUAUCGCAACAGUCUUCUCCAAUUACACUUCCCAUUCGCCGUCGUUUUCUUUCUCUUCGAAACAUUACUUUCAAAAUCCACCCCCAAUUCUAAGUUUUGAUAUUAUAUCUUUUUUUUUCUUCCUUUUUUAUUUAAUUUUAAUGUCAAAAUAUUAAUUUGCUUUUAUUAUUAUUAUUUUAAUUGUUCAGUAGUAUGGCCACAUGUGUAAUAGGUUGGCCACUUGUCAAAGUCAACCGGUCAACUAACGGAAAGGCAAACUUAUAUUAACAUUGCAAAUGUUUUGGACUAAUAUGAAACGUUUUGGACCAGCUUAUAUUAAUGUAGAUCCAUAACAAUCAUAUUUUUAACUAACAUAAUUAUAUUUGCCUACACACUACUUGCAAUAAGGUCUUAACAUGAACAAUUAUAUACGUUGAGGACUAGUUAAUGUAAAUAUUUGAAUUCACUAGGAUUCUUUUUGUGUUUGUAUGUUAUGGUUAUGACCAUGAAUAAAUAAGAAUAAUUAAAACUACUGAGUGGUUGAUGUAUACCUGUUUUGUUUCAAUUUUAACAAAACGUAAAAAACAUAGAAUCUAUCUGUAUAAUUUAUUAAAAUAGAGUUAUAGAUUUAUUGUUGACACAUCGUCAUUGUUUUGUCAUAUAAUCAUAAUUUUCUCAUGUCAUAAAUUUUUUGAUUUGUCACUCUUGAAACAUAUUCGUCCACCCAUCCCUUAAAUUCUCUUUGUGUAAAUUAAUGUCUUAUUACUUAUAUUUUUUAUAUUUGCUACAACAAUUUCCUACGUUUUCCAUACACAAACUUUAUAUCCUAUGUUUACACUAAAUUUAUAAAUAAAUUAAUCGUGUCUUUCGCAAUUCAUCUGUUUUCAUUAUUUCUAUUUAUAAGCUACUUAUAUUUUCUUCAUAUUGUUGGUAUGUUUACGAGUCUUCCUCCAACUACUAUGUAACACACAAACACAUUCACUUGGUCACUCAUCCAUUAUAUUUUUGUCAAUAAUAAAGUUCAUGGUGAAAAACAAAACCAAAUAAAAGAACAACUAGUACGUCCAAACAAAAGAGGCAUAUAAAUUCCAAUUAAUGUAUAAUGUAUAUUUUUAUUACUGUGUUAUAGAGGCGUGUUACAAUAUACGUUGGAAUGUAUAUAUUUAUAACAUCAAACAUUUUUUACUCAUUCUGAGAUCUUUAGAACCACAUAGUUAGUGGUUUUGAAAAUGAAUUAGUUUUUCAUCGCUCAGUUUUGAAAAUGAAUAGAACCACAUUUUUUACUCCUUGCCUAAACUUAAUUGCCUAUUUGUCGAUGCCAACUAACAAAAUAAUUAUUUUUAUACAUUGCUAACGAGUUCUUCCAAGACACUCUUUAAACAUUUAACAUUAAGAAAUUAUUUUUAAAAAAGUCAAACAGUUCAAUUUCCAAUGCAACAAAUAAACAAAUUUUCAUAGAAUUUACCAUUUAAGAUUUUUUUUUUGACAAAUCCACUUAAGAUUCUUAAAUAGUGUCUUAGAGACACUCAUUACCUUUCUCUUAUUAGGUGUAAACACUAAUACAUGCAAGAUUGAAACUAACUUUACCUCCCACUACUUUCUCACCGUCAAAUUUUGCCAACCAAGCCAAUAAACACCCCUUAUUUUGUCCCCUUUAUGGAGCCCCACAAAAAAAAAAAUCUAAUAUAUAUUUCAUUUUCUCCCCCUUAAAAAAUUGGAAGAAGGAACACACAACGGAAUAUGCAUGAACAAUUUGAGCAACAAAUUUAAUUAAAGCUUUAAUACUCCACGCAGAAAUUCUCUUCCACUCUGACUUAUGCAUAUUUCAGGAGUUUGGGCUUCACUUGUAUACAAACAAGUUUCAAAUUGGUAUAAUUUGAUGCAUGUUUUUUUUACUUCGGAUUAUAUAAUCAGAUGCAAAAUUGAAAAAACAGGGAGCGUGUGAGAGAUUUAGAAGGUGGAAAAAGAAAAUCUCUAUCAGCUUUUUCAUGGAUAAAAAAUGUUAUCAAGAAACAUUUAUUCCAAUAUUAUAUUUUAUUAUAACAAUAACAUUUAAAUUUAAAUAAAAUGGGUCUCACAUAAAGGGUGGAUUCUAGGGUGAGGGAGCAAUUAAGUCCCUCAUUGGUGGACCAUGUCUAACAACCUUUAGAUUAAUGAGUCCCCAAUUUUUAUCAUACACCUUUCUGCACUUGAUCAGUUUUCUUUCUUCUCCAUCCUCUGCCUUCCUUCUCAAAUCUCAUUUCAUUUCAAUCCAUCAUGCAUAAUUAUUCCAAUUAUUCCUCAAUAAUACAUUUCCUUUAAAUUUAUGAAUUAUCUUUCAAAAAUUAUAUGUAUCGUUCACCCUCAAAUGUCCCAUAAAGGGUGUUGUUCUAUAACUCAAUCAUGCUACAAAGAUCUGAUUUAUAAGUCAUACCUUUAUUUAUUUUAUUGGAAACUUAUAACCUUUUAUGGUUAAUUUCACUUGUAAAAUAAAUUAAAAAAUUGAACACUGCAAAGGGAUUUUUUUUUAGGCAAAAGAAUUAAAGUUUUUAAAUUGAUACGGUGACUGAAUUUCAUUUUAAUCUUUGUUUGCUUGCAAAAUCAAGGAUUGUGUUUUUAACCCACGCAACAGUAUAUGGAAAUAACGUCACCAUAGAGCCAUGGUUUUACUGGUGAGAGAAGAAGAUAUUUGUGAUCCAGUGUAGAUAAUGUACAAUAUGAUGUGUGUACUUGAUUAAUCUGGCGCCUCUUAAUGGUGGUCCACCGAUGAGGGACUUAGUAGCUCCCUCACCCUAGAACCCACCCACAUAAAGUGGUGAGACCUACAUUAAUUUCAUCAAAUAAGAGAAUAAAUGUUAGAGAGAACAAUAAAAAGAAAGUGUUGUUAGCACUCGUCCUCACCAAUUCGUCUUGGGGAACAGAAUUGGCAAAUAAUCACAAUUGAGAACUGUCAUAUUCAAUAGUAAUAGGUUGGAUCAAUUGGGGAACAAAAUAUGGUUGUACUUGUACGUUGUACCAUCACUUUGAGUUGGAAAAAUAAACGCUGAAUCAAUUCUAAAUUCCAAUAGAUUGGGUUGGUUACUCUUGAGUAUCAAUUGCAUUGCAUUGGACUUGCCUCACCAUCUUGUGUUGUGAACCGGUCUCAAAGCAUAUCCAUCAAUUGGGACCACCACGAUGCAAAUCAAUGUUUUUACCGGUGCUUCACCCCAUUUCAGUAGAGGAAUAUACAUUGGUUACAAAAUGUGGGUGUUGCUCUAUGUUGGCGGCACUGAGCUCGGUGACAAAAAUACUGAGGCCAAGUACUCGCCCGUUUAAGUUGAAAUGGUCCCAACCCAACAGCCACCACCCUUCACAUUGUUGAAUCAGUAAUAUAUACAUAUGCAUGCCCCAGCAACAAUCAUACUAGCAAGUGAGAUUAAAAAUCCUGUUACUUCUGUCAAGGAAUUGCUGUAGCAUUUCUACGAUAUCUACCAGAAGAUGCGAAUCCUUGAAGAAUUCGUGAAUGUUCUUGCUUCAAACGUUUAUACGAGAAUCCCUGAAAUGGCCUGAUUCACAUAACAAAAAUAGCGAGUUAAUGACCAACGGUGAAGAAAAAUAGUUACCAUGUAUCAUGUAUGAGAAUAAACAACUUCAAAAAAAAUAAAAUUAAGAAAAUCAAUGUCAGAUGCCAAUUCUAUCUGUAGUGGCUUGGCAAACCAUGGCCAGUCUAGUUUUUGAAAAUGGAGCUACCUUCUAGAUUCAAAUAGAUGCAAACUACCACGUGCCAGAUUAGAGAGCACAACAACAUGGAGACCGGAGAGUAUAGAAAGUCCGCUCAUUAUACCACAAAAAAUGAAAAGAAAAUUAAAUAUACACAAUCUUCUAAUCAAAAUAAUAUAAUAGACCUGGGAGAACUCUGCCAUCUCUGAAUGCCUUGGCCAUGCAUUGUUCUUUGACUUCCAAGUGCCUUCUCAGCAGCCUGAAGAACGAAACACAUCUUACUAUCUUAGUACUCCAACACCAAUAUGGAAGAAAGUUAAUCAAAUUCAAGGAAGAAGGCAUACACAUCCAUAUAUAUUGUUUCAUCAUUAAAGAAAACAUAAUACCUGCAUUUUAGCCACAUUCCAUGUUAAUCCGGUCCCCUUACCAUACACCUGGCCAUCUAUCUCAACCUGAAAGAGAAAACUCAUUAAAUCUUGCCAGAGCUUUGCUACCAUUAUUAAAAAAAGACAAGAAAAAUGCCCUAACUAAUAAUGUGUCGGGUAAAACAAGACACCGUAAUUAAGGUAGAGAAGGCUUCCAGGUCAUCCUUUAUAAGUCCCAUCGGACACAAGUACGCCAUUAACAAGACUACUACCCCAUUCCUGAGCCCAGAUUUCAUUUAGUAAAUGAGAAUUUCCAUCCAACACUCACCCCACAACUUCCCUCCUCAAAAAUAAGAAUAGUAAACCACAUAAAUAGAAGGGAAAAAAUAAUAGUUCAGAUAUUUUAUCCUGGACACCAAACUGUCUAAGACAAAAAAUAUAAAGAAAAUCCAAACAUCAAAAAAAUGUCUCUCAAUCUUUUUUUUCUGCCCCUCAAAGGAAUAAAGAACUAAAACACACAGGUUUUGAAAGAAGGCAUAGCCAUUUUGUAAUUCAAUGAGAAUGUCCUUUUUAAAUGAACUAGUUCAGACAACUGAAGCAUUUGAUUACCAACCUGUGGGGUGCAUCAAUUCUAUCCUCAAACGAGCGCAUUGUGUUUGCUACAACAAGGGUUUCAUCCAGAUCAAACACUAUACCCAAACAUCUGAGAUUUAACAUCACAAGGGACGAAUUAUAAAGUCCCAUGGGAACAAUAAAUCCCCAGAAACAUGGUCUGUCAUCAUUCCACGAAUGUAAUGCAACCAAGAUGUAAUUCUUCCCCGAACAGGCGGAACAGCGGCAUAACCCCAUUCUGUAGAGGUCAACAUUGUAUUAACAAUUAUUAAUAUCCAACAAGAAAAUUAAGUAUGGAAAGAAAAUAAAUGUAACGGAUAACCGCGUAAAUUUAAGUAAGAUGACGCAUAUAAGAUAAGGUGCAUUGUAAGCCAGUGGAAGUUGGGUAAAUGCUAAAGAAGCAUACAGUGCCAAACAAAAUUUGACAUCAUAAACAACUCAAACCAUCUUUUCUGUAUGAUACAUAUUGGACAGAUUUGCUGUUCUGUUCAAGUCAGAAAGAAAAAAAAAUAUUUUAUUACACUUUAGACCGUAACUGAAAUGUUUUAUGCAUAUCAUAUAUAUACCUGAAAAUCGAGUGUAUAUCAGAAUUGUGUUCUUUCUCUGAAACCUCAUCAGCAGUUUGGUCUAUAUAGCCUGAUGAGUGUGUGAGAACGCUGGAACAAUUUCAGAAUGAACUUCUAUUGCUUUAACAUUGUAAAUAACAUGAUCAAUUUUAGUACACAUAUAGUUUCACCAUCCUGGUAGCAAUUGACCACUGUCAUCACCACAAAAAUUCAUUGUUGAUCCACCACAUCUCAAUUUUCUCACAAAAUCCUCAUCACACUUGGACCUAGUGGGGCAUUUAAGACCGAGUUAUUGAGGAUUGGCUCUAACUACAGUUUCAUAACCCCUGAUGGUGUGUCUAUCAAAGCACUUGUCAUGCUUUCUUAGAAAUCGUGGUUGGGUGUUACACAACCCCACAAAACCGACUUGUGAGGUGAGGAUUGCCCCCACUUAUAAACACUUGUUUAGGCCAUCUCCCAUCCAAUGUGGGACUCUUAACACACCCCCUCACGCUCAGGACUAGACACCUGGAGCAUGGAUAUAAAAGGUGGGUGACCUGAUAACAGAUGACCCAACUUAUCUUAGAGUUGGCUCUGAUACCAUCUUAGAAAUCAUGGUUGGGUCUUACACAACCCCACAAAACCGGCUUGUGAGGUGAGGAUUGGCCCCACUUAUAAACACUUGUUCAAGGCAUCUACCAUCCAAUGUGGGAAAAUCUUCAACCUUCUAAUCUCAGCUUUUUUGCUAAAUUUAAGUCCUUUUCUCCCCAUUUCUAUCAGCAAUUUUUUCACCUCAAUUUCGUACGACCGUUUAAGUGAGCGGUCUAUCUCUGGUUCAUACGAUAAAUUGAGCCAUCCACAGGUUAGAAUGUCGUAUGUGAAAGAAUUAGGAAUUCUUCCUUUUGUCAGCAAAUCAUUCAAAAGUUCUCUAGCUUCAAUCAUCUUUCCAGAUUUUGCAUAAUCACUAAUAAGCACAUUAUAGGUUUUUAAAGUGGGAACAAAACCUUUGGUUAUCAUUUCAAUGUGAAGUAUUAUAGUUUUUUUUCUGUUUCCAACUCUACCAUAUCCAGAAACCAAUAUGUCAUAAGUAGCGGCAUUUGGGACAAGUCCUCUUUCGUUCAUCUCACUAACUAAUUUCUCUGUCUCUUCCAUCAUCUCUUCCAUCAAACCAGCAUUUGAAAGACCUCCUAAAAGGGUAUUGUAAGUAGUAAUAUUUGGAGCAAUUCCAUCAACAAACAUCUGUGAAUAAGUCUUCAAUGCCUUCUCCACGUGACUUCCUGUACAGUAACCGCGAAUAAGGGCGUUGUAAGUAACUAAAUCAGCUGAAAUUCCACGUUUUACCAUUUCAUCAAGGACCACUUUUGCCUUUCUAGUCAUCCCUAACCUGCAAAAUACAGUGAUUAGUGUGUUAUACACAGUCAGGCUGAGUUCGAGGCCUGAGGCGACAAGUUUCUCGUGAAUUUGCAAAAUUUUGUCUGCUUUUUCACUCCUUGAAUAUGCUUUAACCAGAAACUUGUGAGUAAUUGGGGUUGGCACAAACUCCAUAACUAACAUUUCAUCUAAAGCACUUUCUGCUUUUUCAACUGCACCAGUUUUACAAAGCCCGCCAAUCAAAAUGUUAUAAGUGACUGCAUUUGGCAUUAUCCCGUAGCUCUUCAUCUCAUUCAAAAUAUCCAAAGCAUCUUCUGUCUUACCUUUGAUGCAGUAUGUGUUAAUUAUAGUGUUAUAUGUAAUACAAUCUGGAGCCAAACCCAAUUCUAUCAUUCUUGAACAAACAUAUCGCGGGUCAUAUUUCCCCAGCCUCAAGAGCCCCUUAAUCAAAGCAUUGUAAGCAACAACAUCAAACCGGAUGUUUUUCUCUUUCAUUUCCUGGACAAUGGAAAGAGCGGCUAACUGGUUUCCUUCUUUAAAGUAGCCAUCUAUUAGAGAAGCGUAAUUAACGAUAUCCGGGUCUAUACCCUUGGAGUACAUAUCUAUAAUUAAUGACCGAGCUUCAUCCAUCCUCCCAACUCUUUUCAAGUUGUUCAAUAAGAUAUCAAAUAUGACAUUGCUUUCCUCCAAUCUACGCGAUUUCAUUUCCUUACAGAAAUCAUCAGCAACGUCUUGUUCACCUGCCUUAAAAUAGCCAUCAAUUAAAAUUGCAUAAACAAUAGUAUUUGGCAUAACAUUCCUUUGGACCAUCUCCCUUAACACAUCAACUGCUUUACUAAGCAUUCCUUUUUUAGCAUAUCCAUUUAUAAUGGAAGAAAAGGUAAUAACAUUUGGAGGAACAUGUUCCUUCUCCAUUUUUUGUAACACUAACUCUGCAAGUUCCAUUUUUCCUAACUUGCAAUACCCAUCAAGCAAUGCCGAAUACGUGACACAGUUUGGGGCAAGAUUGAGCUUUAGAAUAGUUUCGAACACUUCCUCAGCCUCUUUAGUUUUCCCAACUUUGAAAAGUCCAUCCAUUACAGUUGUGCAUGUAACUAUAUCAAAAGAAAUGCCCCGAACAACCAUUUGGCUUUGAAGAUUAAAAGCUUCCAUAACCCUCCCAGAUUUGAACAGCGAGUUAAUAAUCGUAGCAUACGAGACAUGAUUAGGAUCUAAACCCAUUUCAUACAUCUCUCUAAACAAAACUGCUGCCUCAGUUAGUUUACCAUGCCUGCAGAAUCCAUAAAGAAUAGAACUACAAGUAACCACAUCUGGCAUGAUUCCAUUCAUAAUCAUCUUCUUAUACAAAGAAUGUGAUUCUUCAACUCCAACAAACUUACAGUACGCAGCGAUUAAUGUUGUGUAUGUGACAAGUGUAGGCUGCAAAUUUUUUAUCUCGUUUUGAGUUACAACAUCAUUAUUUUUCAACCGAUCUUCGUCUUUCCAAAAUCCCAAAAUCUCAUUGAAAAGAGAUUCAGCCCUUGUAAGAUCACCCGUUUUACAAAAAGCUUUAAGCAGAGUAUUAUAAGUAACAAUAUCAAUCUUGACAUCACUCCUCCAGCUAUUCUCAAUCAACUCCGUUGCUUGACUCAUCAAACCAGCUUCACAAUACCCAUCAAUCAAGGUAUUCAAACCAAUAACAUCUUUUGUAACCCCACCAUCAACCAAGUUGUACAUAACCCACUCAGCGUAUUGAACCAAUCCAAUUCUGCAAUAACCCUUGACUAGUAUAUUACAAGUGAUUGAAUCAAAACAUAAACCUCUUUUAACCAUUUCAGACAACAGACCAAAACCCUGAUCAACCAACCCUUUCUGACAGAAUCCCCAAAUAACAGUAUUAUAUGUAACAUUAUCAAUAUCAACAACAUCGUUGUUCCUAAGAUAUCCUAAAGCCAAAUCCAAAUCACCAACUUUACACAACGAAUGAACCAAAACAUUAACACUGAAAACAUCAGGUACAACUCCACAAAACAGCAUAUCAGAAUACAUAAGUUUUACCUGAGAAACCAAACCAGAGGCAUUGAAUUGAUACAAAAGGGUAUUCCAGAAAGGUAAAGUAGGAACAAGACCAAGAGCACGCAUGUGAGAGAAAGUGGCAGAGGCGGUGGAGAAUCUGUCAUGUGUCAAGUAGAGGCGAAUGAGGGUGCAGAAGAAUGAAACAUAGAGAUGGGUUUUGGUGGGUGGGAUAAAAAUUGAAUCUUUAUGGAUUUGGGAGGAGAAUGUUCUUGUGAUGGGUGUAGGGUAGAAAAAUCUUCUGAGUCUGGUGGGGGGUGAGAAAAAGAAUAUAAGGGUGUUUGUUUGCACCCUUAUUUUCUUCAGAUGCAUCAUCAUCAUCAUCUACUAUGUCGAUUCAAGUUCAGCUGCAUGGUGAUUGGUGAGAAUGGAAGUAAGCAGCAGCAAGUAGUAACACUAUGGGAGGAAAGCGGAGCUUGGGUUGAGGGAGGAGAGUUCUCUGUUGUUGGUGGUAAACGAAGAAAGAGAAAAUUAACUUUUGAUCCCCAAUUUUACUUUUUUUGAGUUUUGGUCCCCAUCAAUUUUAAAGUCAAAUAGUUUCGUGUUAGAAAUUCUCUUUUUGAAUGCAAAUAUGUGGAAUGUUUGAGAUUUUAAUUCGGACCUUCUAUAUAUUAUACAAUGUUCAUAUCAAUUAAUUUGUAACACUCCGUUUUCCUAAUAUAAAAAUUUCUAAUACAUUUAUCAGAGUAAAUAUCAUAGACAACGGGAUAUCACAUAUAACAUAAUCCAAAACAGUUUAAUAAUAAUUUAACCAAAUAACUUAAACAUUGCAGCGGAAAUUAUAUCAUAAUUCAUAAAAUGUUUUGGCACGCAGGCCCCAGCAAAAUAUUUCAAAUCAUAAUCCAUAAUAUUAUAAAAAUAACAUAUUAGUCACGCAAAAGAAUGAAGCAUGCAUAACAUAAAACCCCAUCCCGUUAUGUAUCAGAGCGACCUAGACGACACAGUGAGGCAAGGCCACUCACAACAGCAAACUGCACACUAAGCACGAUCACCUGCAAGUUACCCAUACAAAGGGCAACAUUUUCAAGUAGAAAGGGUGAGAUUUCAUAACAAAAUAAUAUUAAUCAAUGUAAUUCGAAUCAUAAAUUAACAUUAACAUCAUAUUCAAUCUUAAACAACUUUGCAUAUUUGAUAAACAAUUAUCACGUAAUCACAUAUUCAAUCAUCAUCAACAACAUAGUAUCUUAGACACGACAAUGCGACAAUGCUCUUAGACUCCUUAUAUGCAUGUGGUACCAAUCGUCAUCAUAAGUAUUAAUAUAAUUUAAACGUGCGGAGGACAAAGCUCCUAAUAAUCGUGGUGAGGACUAAGCUCAAUGAAUGCUAAUACAUGGACUCUUAUCAACAAAACAUCGUAAUCAUCAUAUCAAUAUGCAUCCAAUAAUUUGGAGCCAACGUUAUCUUAUUCAUCAUAUAUAGACAUUAUGCACUUAGUUAAAUAACAUCAGCAGCAUAGUCAAGUCACACAACAACAGGAUGAUAUCAUUAUAUCAAUUGCAAUUCAAUAGCAUCAUAAUAUUUAAUUCAUAACUUACAUAAUGUAUAAUACAUUAAUUCAUGCUCAAUUAAUAUCAACAUAUCUUAAACGGCUUUACAGAUUGCAUUAAACAUCAUCAUUAGGUCUCAUUACCAACUAGGGGUUCACUCUUGAUCAAAACGUGCGACACAGAUCGCACAAACACUCAAGGCACUCCAAUCUGGAAGUGCUCGCGAGGCGAGAGUAUCUACUCGCCAUGGCGAGUACCAGACAAAACCAAACUAAAGUUGUUCUAGGUUUAAUCUAGUCCUACAUUCAUCCCUUAUCAUUACUAGAUAUGUUCAGGCACUCAAAGGCACUCAAGGUCCAACUAAAAAGUCGAAAAUACAAAAUCUAACAUGCUCUCUGCCUUAGCUCGCUAUGGCGAGUAAGGUUGCUCGCUGUGGCGAGCUGCAUUGUACAACUUGCGAGGCGAGGGAAAAGGCAUCGCGAGGCGAGCGAUGAAUGUCGCUACGGCCAGACUUCCUAAUUUCACAAAAAAUCAGCGAUUCACAUGGUUCUAAGCCUGAUAUUGAUUCCAAAGUUCGACCUAAACAUUAUCUAAGGUCUAGGGGCACUUUCUACAUCAAUUUAUCCAAUUCCUACCGUUCGAUUAUCAAUUCUAGGGAUUUUGACCUAGUUUUCGUUUUCUCCAAUUCAAUCCUAAAGCUUGCUAACUAAUCAUCAGAAUCACAAUCAAUUAACAUUACCGAGUUAUUAGUCUCACCCUUACCUGGUUAUGAAGAAAUCGCAGCCCUCUCUUUGAUCUUCUCCCUUCUAAGCUUUUUCUCCCUUUUCCAAAAGUUUUCACGUACAAUGGUUUUUCUAACAAUUAGGUCUUCCCCUAUUUAUAUCUCUUCCUAAUAACUUAUCUUAUCUCACUUUCUCCCCCAAAACUAUCUAAAAUCUCAAAACAACCCUUAACUAAAUAUUUUAUAUUAUUUUCAAAUCUUUAUUUUAUUUAACAAUAAAAUAAGUCUCAUGUCCUUAUCAAAACCUUCAACUCAUAACUUAUCACAUUAUCAAAACACGUCAAAUCUUUCAAAUCAACUUAACUCUUCUAAAUUCAACAAAACUCACAUAUAUAUUAUAAAAUUAAUUAAAUAAUUAAUUAAACGAAAGUGGGCGUUAUACAAUUCAUCUGAAUUUACGAAAAUCUCAUCCAUGAUAUGCAACGACGUGACAGUUUGGAUGGACACAUUUAUUAUACAUGUAAUUUUUUUUAAUUCAACAAUAAAAAAUUAACACUAAAAAAACAAUUCUUUUAAAGCUUAAUAGCAGUUUUAGCCCCCUAACUUUUCUAAAGUUGCGAUUUUGGCCCCCUAAAGGAAAAAACUACAAAACUGCCUCCUAAGUUUUGCACAUGUGGCUGUGACAAUUUUAGCUCCCAAAAUCGCAACUUCGUGAAAGUUAGGGGUGAAAACUGCUAUUAAGUCUUCUUUUAAUCUUUAUAAAAAAUAAUAAACAUUAAAUUAAACCAAAAUUCCAUUUUUCAUUUUCUCUUUCACUUGAUUUAAAAACAAUUAUGUUAAACUUUUUAAUCAUGUGAAAAAGAGAACUAGAAGUGAGAUUUCUGAUUUAAUUUAAAAAUAAUUAACGUGCGUGAUUUUAAAGAAUGUAAUACUAUGUAAAAAGAUAAUGUAAAAAAUAUAUGACAAUACAUUCUUUUGCAUUCAAAAAUUAGUCAUUAAUUUGCAUAAAAGUUGGCUUACACUUACCCAAAAAUUAUAGAAUUAGCAUAUAAUAUCAAUCAAUCAUAGACUUGUUUAUAUAUUACUCAUUAUACUUCCUGAACUAAAUUGUUUACUUUAGUGGAGCGUUAAUGAGAUGAUAAAAUAAUCCCCAAGUUCUGACUCAACUGACAAAAUGUCGAAAUUGUUAGGCCAGAUGUCAUGACCGGGGUUCGAAUCCUGGUACCUCCACUUAUGUGUGUGAGUUUAUAAUAACUUUGUCAUUUCAUCUAUCUACCAAAAAAAAUGAGAUGAUAAAAUAAGAAUCAUUGUGUAUUUUAAACAUAUUUCAAGAAAGGGGAAUUAAUUUUUUUUGCUUAAUUGUUUCUUAACUCAUUCACAAAGAACUGUGAAAACCUCGUAACAUGUUGUUUAUGUAAAUAUUGAUUGGCGAAAUGUUUGAAGAUUUUUAUGUGCCAACUGGAUUGCUCAACCUCUGGAAUAAGGCGAUUAGAAGUUGGCUUUCGAUGCAAAAAGAAAAAACUGAUUAGAUCGUAUCUUUCAAUAGAUUUUGUGUGAUCGAGAGUUACGUUCCUAUAAUCCAAAGGGCUUUUGAGCAAAUUCAAGGAAUUCAAGGAGCCCCAAGAAAUGUCUUUGAUGAUCAUCAAUUUAACCUAGCUCUUUUUUUUUUUUUUUUUUUUUUUGAGUCCACAAGUCAUUCCUCAACUCUAAAGCAUUUAUUUUGAUAUUAUAUUUAUUAGCAAAUUUAAAUAUGAUCGCAAAUCAUUUUGACAGAUUAUAUACUGCAUAACUCACCAAAAAGACUUGGGGAACAAAAUUGACAAAUAAUCACAUUUAGAAAUCAUUAUCAAUGUUACAGUACUAUGCAAACUCACCAACCUCAAGACUCUGGUAAUAACAGAGUCUUUAGAGGACUCAAGGUGAUAGAACCACUACCCGGUUAUGUUAGUGAAAAAAGUGAAUACCAAUUAAAAAAAUAAAAAGGACCUGUACUGAAUGGUUGUAUUUGUACCAUCACUUUGAGUGAGAAAGAUAAACGCUGAAUCAAUUCUCAAUUUCAUUAGGUUGGUUUGGUUACUCUUGAGUAUGCAUUGCAUUGCAUUGGACUUGCCUCAUCAUCUUGUCUUGUAAACCGGUCUCGAAGCAUAUCCACACAACGCAACCAAUACUCCAUUGAUUGGGACCAUCAAGAUGUGAUUAUCUAACAAAAUCAAUCUUUGACCAGUACCUCACCCCUAUUUCAGUGGAGGAUAAUACAAUGGUACAAAAUGUGGUGUUGUUCUAUAUUGGCAUUGAGCUCGGUGUGACAAAUACCGACCCACUUAAGUUGAAAUGGUCUCAACCCAACAGCCACCACCCUUCACAUUGCUGAAUCAGUAACAUAUACACAUGCAUGCCCCAACAACAGUCAUACCAGUAAGUGAGACUGAAAAUCCUGUUUCUCUUGUCACGGGAUUGCUGGAGCAUUCCUAGGAUAUUGUCACGGGAUUGCUGGAGCAUUCCUAGGAUAUCUACCAGAAGAUGCGAAUCGCUGCAGAGUUCGUGGAUGUUCUUGCUUCAAACGUUUAUUCGAGAAUCCCUGAAAUGGCCUGAUUCACAUAACAAAAAUAGCAAGUUAAUGACCAAUGAUGAAGAAAAAUAGUUACCAUAUAUGAGAAUAAACAACAACAAUUUUUUUGUCUUCAGAAAAUCAAUGCUAGAUGCCAAUUCUGUCUGAAGGGGCUAGCAAACCAUUGGCCAGUAUAGAAUUUGAUUAUGGAGCUACCUUCUAAAAUCAAACGAAUGCAAACCACUUUGUGCUAGAUUUAGAAAGCACGGCACAUUUGGAGAGUAUAGGCUAAGUCUGUUCAUUAUACGACAAAAAAUGAAAAGAAAAAUAUACAGUCUUCUGAUCAAAAUAAUAGAAUAUACCUGGGAGAACUCUGCCGUCUCUGAAUGCUGUGGCCAUGCAUUGGUCUUAGACUUCCAAGUGCCUUCUCAGCAGCCUGAAGAAUGAAAUACAUCUUAGUACUCCAACACCAAUAUGUAAGAAAGUUAAUCAAAUUCAAGGAAGAAGACAUGCACAUCCAUAAAUAAUGUUCCAUUAUUAUAGAAAACAUCAUACCUGCAUUUUAGCCUCGUCCCAUGUUAAUCCGGUCCCUUUACCAUAGACCUGGCCAUCUAUCUCAACCUAAAAUGGAAAAUUCUUUCUUAAAUACUGCCAGAGCUUUGUUACCAUUAUAAAAAAAUAAAAAAUAAAAAGGACAAGAAAAAUGCCAGAACUAAUAACAAAGUGCUUGGUUAAACACUUCCAGGUCAUCCUUCAUAAGCCCCAUGGGCCACAAGUCCACCAUUAACAAGAUUACUACCCCAUACCUAAGCCCAGAUUUCAUUUAGUAGAUAAGAAUUUCCAUCCAACACUCACCCUUCAACUUCCCUCCUCAAAAAUAAGAAUAGUAAACCACAUAUAUAGAAGGGAGAAAUAACAAAAGUUCUGAUAUUUUAUCCUGGACACCAAAUUGCCUAACAGACCAAAAGUAUAAGGAAAAUUCAAACAUCAACAAAAUGUCUCUCUUAAUCUUCUUUUUUUUCUGCCCCUCAAAUGAAUGAAGAACUAAAACACACAGGUUUAGAAAGAAGGCAUAACCAUUCUACAAUUCAAUGGCAUUGUCAUUUUUAAAUGAAUUAGUUCAGACAACUGGCAAUUGGUUACCAACCUGUGCAUAUACUUCAUCUUUCUGAACUGAAUUUGUUGAAAGUGGAGCAGGCACUGAUAGAAAAUUGACACCAAGACCCUCCAUCAUGCACUGAAGAAAAUAAACGCAGAAGUUAUACCAUGUUAGAAACACAAACUUCAACCGAGGUUAACAAAAAUAUGGUUCUGGGGAGAUAGGUUGGUCAAUUUAUUAUGAAUCUCACCAAUUCUUUGAGGGCAGAGACUGAACCCGUUGAUCUCUUGGAGACUUCCAACCUAGGAUCCAAAACCCUUGAUAGAUCUGAUGCAGCUGAAAAUGAGACCGCCUCCUCUUUAGGCAGGGGGUGAUUACCAAGAGAACUAACAUUACCCACAUAACCGUUGUCAUUUGCAUUAGGAAAUCCACUCACAUCACCAUAUGCGGAACCAGGCUCAUCCUUAGCACGUGAUAAAUAUAUAUCUAGAAAAACAACCAAAAAGGUCAAAAUAUAUUUACAACUUUUUUUAAAAGAGGAAAUCAACAGUAAUAGAAAGAGUAAGAACAUGGUUACAAAAUAAAAAUAGCAAAGCAAUGGGUGCCGCUGAUAAUGUUAUUUGCUUAAUCAUUUUUUAUGAUGCUAGGAUCUUAUAGGAGAUUUUAGAUGGUCUAGUGUAAUUUCUUAUUCAUACACCUCAGAAUUUAACCAUGUAUGAAGAUAACUAUCCUAGCUUUCCUCCUAGCUAAAGGCAUACCCAUACAAAGAUAAUUAGACCAUCUCUACUAAAAGUUGAAACUAUUACAUGGCAGCCAAAAAAUAGAUUUGUCAUUUAACAUUUAUAAGACAUCGUCUCAUACAAGAGCCUUCCAAGCUUGAAGCAAGGAUAAUAAAUAGGUGUUAUUUUACCUUAGGCUGAAAAUCUAAUUUAAAAAUAAACAAGGGGGCAGCAAGGUUCAAAAUCUUGACAUUUGGUCAUAGUACUGUAUAUAUUUUCAAUCUCCACCGUUAAAAUACAACAACCACUUUUUUUUUUAUAAUUUAAUUCUCACUUUCUAUCUCAUGUUUAAUGGUUGAGAUUCCACUUAAGAAAACUUGAGAGAAUUUUUCAAUGGAGAGAAUCCAAAUCCCUCUUAAGCAGCUCGUUCUGUAACGAAAAGGUCAUUGCCUUUACCCUUUAAAUCUCUGACAAGGUCUGAGAAAAAGUUUUAUUGAUGGAAGGACAAUACCCUAAGGCUAUUUAUGCCAUUUAGUAAGUCUCAGUAUUAAACCCAAUGGGGCUGGUAUAACAAGGUAGACCCUGCUUUUGAUGUUCUGAAUUUCUUUAACUAAAACAAAAACAAUGUCUACAUUUUUGUAGGAACAACACCGGUCCUUAGAUAGCAGAAUCUUGUAGGAACAAACCCCUCUUUAUAGGAUAUUAGACUCGUAAUGCUAAUCAAAUAGAAAAAAAGGUCGUGAUAAUAACUAAAUAAUAUGGAAACUAACCUUAAGAGAUGCUCUAAAAUAAAAUAAAAUAACUAAUCCUAUGAGAUAAUUCAAGAUAAUAUCAAGAUAUUAUAAGAUAAUUUUCUUAUAUUCCAACAGUUCUAUAUAAUGCUAUAGCACAAACUUCCAAAAUUAGGAAUGUCCUACCAGCCAAAUGUUUAAUAGAAUCCUCAGCAGCCUUAUAUCGCGCUUCCAUUCUAGUUCUGCCAAUUCCUUGGCCAACUUUUUUCCCAGAAAACCACGCCUGCAAAUAAUGAUGACACUUACAAGAUGACGAAGGCAUAUCAACAAAUUAUGAAUUAAUAGAUGCUUCAACUAAUCACUACUCCAAAGGAAGCAAGAUGGAAUCAGCUUUAAACCGCCAACCGAAAGAUCAAUUAAAUUUCUAGGUUUGUUUCCCCGGUAAAAAAUUAAAUAAAGAUGACAUUAUUCAUAGCGCACCCAAUCCUGGAAAAGUUAAAUAUUUGGUAUAGUCUGCAACUAUGUAGGAAAAAUCAAUGUGUUUAGUUAAUUAAGCAUGAUGAAAAAUAAAUAUCAAGUGCAGAACGUUCACCGAUUAAAAAAAUGAGAAAUUUAUCCUAAUGAACAAAAUAGUUCUCUAGUUUUGUAUAGAAAAAUAUAAAACUUAGAAAGUCGUGCAAACAUAUAGAACAUGGUAUCAUGAAGUCACGCGGCUAGAAUGAAGGAUACCUCGACGGAGAACUGCAGCUCUCUGCUGGCAACCAAAGAUGAUGUAUAUUCCACCUGCUCAUAUCAAAAGCAAAGAAACAUGUUGGGUACACAAACCAAAAGAAAGCUUAAAUAGUACCACGAGAUACUAAUAAAUGUAACAAUGCUAUCUAACUAUUUUCUAGCAGACAAACUUAUCAGCUUACCUUAGUUCCACACUUCAGUGCAAUUUCCUGUAAUACUGCAGCUGGUGUUUCUGCAUGCAAUACAGAAUUACCAGAUUCAGAGUCAAGAUCCCUGUGGCUAGAAGAUGACCUACCAAAGAGGAUGUCAUCACCUGCAUAAGAACAACCAUGAGAUAUUGUCACUCUAAGGGUAGGACUAAAAAUAACAGAACUUGGAAAGCAAAAGAAACACACACAGAGGAACUAAACUAAAAAAACAUUUUAAAGUUUCAUAUAAGGUUUCUUGGAUGCUUUAUGUCCAGUGAAAAGGUAAAUCAAGGAAGACAAAGGCAAGUGUAUCAAAAGAUAUAUUUAUCAUACAGAAAAAUUAUAUGGUUGUGGUAGCCAAAAAGUAGAGUUGUUAUUUCCCAAGAAAACAAUAAUCCAAAACCCAAACUUAAUUACUCAUCACAGAAAAAUCACAAAAUUCAAAAAGAAGUCACUUUAAUUGAGCAUGGAACCAACUGCAAAAAAAGCUCACUCAAACUAAUUACAUUUCAGAGCCAAAUAAAUGCAGCCAGUCACCAUCAGUACAUGAGAAGCAAAUACUUGGGGAGGAAACUGAAGAGAAUCAACCAAACAUGUAGGGACAAGUAUUAUAGCUUACCAGAUAACGAAUGAUAACUAGGGAGCAUAUGGUUUACUCUUGACCGAUCAUCUCUAUGGUAAAUCUGCAACAAUAAAAAAAAUGGUAAGUUAAUUCACUACAUAAACAAAAAGUUUGAGCCACUUGUAAAACAUCAAAUGAUAGAAUGAAACAUAGUCAUUACCUCCUUUGGCAAUCUUUGGUGGCUCUCAUGGAGAGCUCUAUCAGAUGAAAUAGAGCCAUCAACCUUAGAGAAAAAGGAUGGUUGAUGAGGCCGGUGCUUCUCCAUACGUGAUGGACCAGAAUCUACAAGAAUUUCUUUAGGUAGUACUCUGUUCGGUGGUUGUGAACCAAUCUCCUCUUCUACAGGAAACCAUCCCCCACGUGAUGGUGCACGAGUGGAAACUUGUACAGGAUUGGGGUGUCUAACGGGGAAUGGAGGCUCACUAGAUGUAUGAUCCCUAAUAUCUUGUCCAUGUUGCAAUAUGAGAAGCCUUCGCCUUGUAUCUGGGUCUAAUUCUGAUUCACCUACUUCCCCUUCUUCUCUAGCAGGAGAACUAUGCAAGCUUGAUUCUAAAGGGGCAACUUGAACCAUUGGCUUUACUGGUGUAGCAGGUUGAAGGAACUGUGUGUGAGGCAAUUGUAUCAUAGAUGCGUGUGGUGCAGGUGGUGGAACUGAACCAGGAGAUACCAUUGUAUACUGAAGAGAAGAAGUGAGCCUGGGAUCUAACUUCGCAGUUGUCAUAGGAAUAGCUGAAGUUGCUGAUAUUGCAUCCUAGCACAAAGUACAGUUACAUAGAAAGAUUAGACAAACUUCAUGUUUAAUCAGACAUAAACACAGUUCUCAAAUAUUCACUCGGAAGUCAGAUUGAUACCUUCAAUUUUCUUUCUACCUCAGCAUCUGCCAUGCCAUCAAAUAAAAACGGAUCUCUAUUUCCAUAGGAAGCAGAUCCAUCGUCCUGUAGAAGUCAAACAUACAGUUAAACACGCACAAAUACAACACAUAUGACAGAAAAUCAAAUGAUACACAUCUAUUUGAAUUUCAACAUCGUAUAUCCCCAUCAGAUUAGAAUAAUGACAUGUACACAUGUAGUCAUACAGUUACCUCUGAAACUAGAUAAUUGCUCACGUCAGGAGCAGGAGGUAUAUCUUUAAUAUCAUCUUCAUAGGCAAUUUGAGGAAUCUUUUGUAGAAGACCAUCAUCAAAAUCCCUAUCACAAAAUCAGAGUCGUAAUUAGGGGCAAGAAUCAUAUGUAGUAUUAUUAUCUUUAUACCAAUUGGAGAUAAUUAAAAUGCUUAGAAAUCAACCUCUAAACUACAACAACAACAACGACCAAGCCUUAUCCCACUAAGUGGGGUCAGCUACCUGAAUCAAACGAUGCCCUAGCGUUCUAUCAAAAACCAUGUCUUUCUCCAACUCAUUUAUCUCUAAAUUACUAAAUAGAUAUUUUUACAGAUAAAUAUAACUUUUGAAAGGUAUAACUUACUUAAAGAAGCCACCCCUAACAUUGCAAGCAACAUUUCUUGCAACGCACAAGACAGGGAUAGUAUUGCUUGCCUACAAGACAAAAAAUUAAUCAGUUCAUAUAACUAAAAAAGGGAUGAAAUUUCAUUCAUGCCACUGAAAGUAUAAAAUUUCCAACCAUGUGUGCCAGCAAAUUUACCUCAGCUUGAGGAGCAUAGUAUGGAGCAAAUGCAGGAACGACAUGUACCCGAGGUUGAUCUUUCUCAUCCCACACUUUCAAGCGAUCGUCAAUUACUAACGCCAUCUUUGGAUGGCAUGAGCCAUCUUGGAAGACAUUGAACAAGGACUUUUUCAAACCUAUUAUAAUAUUAUCGAAACACAAGAAUUAAAAGUGAAUGACAUCAGAAGUAGCAGAAACAUGGGCAUACGGUCCAAUACAAUGAUUUGCUUCUCUACAUCAAACUCGGAUGAAAUUUAAAAUAUAGUUUAAUUACUCUAUGGGUCCCUAAACUAUUUGAGAAUUUUUAAUAGGUCUUAAAUUAAAAAAAUUUGUGAUAAGGUCUCUGAACUUAGGUCUCUCGAUUUUAAUCAUAUGCCUUAACUUUCAAAUAAUUUGUAUUUAGGUCCCUGAACAUUUAAGUAAUUUGAAGCAUGGUCCCAAAUUACAUGGACCUAUUAUUUAUAAGUUCAAGGAUCCAAUUAAAAUUUAGGGGCCCAACUACAAUUUUUUGUGAAGUUCUAGGACUGAAUUAAAACUUAUAUAGUUUAGAGAACUAUUAAAACAUUCUCAAAUAGUACAGGGUAGUUGAACCUAAAAUAUAAGAUGUCCUCAUGUUCAGUUUGCUUCCUUCAGGUGCUCUAUUACAAAUAUACAGCUUCUCUUUGAAAACAAAAUUAACUAAGAAAAAAAAAACAAGCAUGCCAUUUAUGGACUUACCGGACUUAACACAUACAAUGCGACCCAAUAGUUCUUUCGCAUUUAUCAAAUUUGAAUCUGGAUCAAGAAGUCUCCACAUUUCUAGCGCAUAGUCCCUUUCAGCCAUUGUGCAAACAAAAACCUCAAAACGCUUGCGCCCUCUUGCAAUCAGGUAGCUCCGAAGAUCUUCCCAUGCAGGUCUCAACCUCACAAGAACACUUGUAUCACGAAUCUAUCAAAACAUGCUACCCUUUGUUAGACUAAUGAUUCUGACAAGUCUUUAUGGUUACAUAUGUGUUUGAAAAAAAAUAGACAAAACACACUAAUUUAAUGUUGUGAUUUAGAGGUUAUUUUCUUCGUUUAAGAUAUUUUUACACAUGCAUGUGUGUAUGUGUAGGCAUAGUUUUUCGGUAGGAUCUUAUGAUCCGUGUUACGAUCCACGAGUUUCGGUUUUUCACACCCUCCUGAUCCUAGGCAGAAUCCAGUUUGACUACAGGGUUUGACUACAUUGGGACCCAGUAGAUGAUAUAUUUAAACGAAAAUGCACAGCAACAAGAUGCGACAAAAGAAUAGUAAAUAACAAUAAAUGAUUGUGUAAAGAAAAUAUCAUAUACCUGCGGAUUGAUGCGUGUCAAAAUAAUGUUUUUUUCAUGCAACCGUAUCAGUGGUCGAACUAUGGGCUGAUGACUGUCAGAUAAUGCUGGAACAAGCUCAGAUUGAACUUUUAUCACUUUUCCGUUAUCAACUACCUGAUCAUUUUCAGCAUACUGCUUCAAUAUACUCUUGUCCUCUUGGUAGCGCUUGAUCUCCGCCUGCAUGCCAGAAAUUCGUUGUGGAUCUACCUCAGAGUUUACUUUUCUCUGGAGUGCAUCAAUUCUAUCCUCGAACGAGCGCAUUGUAUUUGCUACAACAAGGGUUUCAUCCAGAUCAAACACUAUACCCAAACAUCUGAGAUUUAACAACACGACGGAUGAAUUAUAAAGUCCUGUGGCAACAAUAAAUCCCCAGAAACAUGGUCUGUCGUCAUUCCGCGAAUGCAUUGCAACCAAAUGUAAUUCUUCCCCAUACAGCGGCAUAACAGCUGUCUGCAGAAGCCAACAUCGCGACAAUUAUUAAUAUUCUACAAGAAAAUUAUAUAUGGAAAAUAAAGGUAACCGAUAACUGCAUAGGUAACCGGUAAAUUUAAGUAACCGGUAACCGCGUAAAUUUAAGCAAGACAACAAAUAAUAGAUACAGUGCAUCGUACGCCAGCCGAUAUUAGGAAAAUGCUAAAUAGUCAUGCAGUGCCAAAAACAAAUUGAUAUCAUAAACAACCCAGCCUAUAUUUUCAGUAUGAGCUCAAGUCAGAAAAGAAAAAAAAAAAAAAAUUAAUACACUUUCGACUGUCGGAACCAAAAUCAUGUUUUUUUUUUUUUUUGUAUUAACAAAACCCUAACCAGCACAAACACUAAUUUCACUAUCAAUCACAAAUUUCUCAGAUUUAGCAAAAAAAAAAAAAAUGGUAUUAGAUCAACAAGUAGCAAAACUCUUCAUGAAACAUAAUGCCCCAAUUAAUUGGGAAUCUCGGUGGCAUUGUUAGGUAUCUGUUAAAUGAUCAAUUGGCCAAUUUUUCCACCAUCUGAGUUCAUCAAAACAACAAAUUUAGUAAGUUAAAUCAAAUUAUUCCAAAAAUCUUGCAACAUUAACACAUAAGUCAUAAGUUCAUCAUCCAUAGAUUGAAGUUGUUUUAAGUCCUGUGAGAUUUAGUCCAAAAUCAUAGGGUUUAAGUGAAUUUUUUUCUCCAUAUUUUUUAAUUUAAUUUUAAUUAUGAUUUUUUACCUUGUUCUCUCUGAUACACAAGGAGUGCAAGUGUAAGAGCUGAUUCUGGUGCUGUGUCUUUGACUCCAUUUUGAAGCAAACAGUAGUAAUAGUAUGAAGAACAGCAAGUGGUGAACACCUCUCACUAGGUUGAGAAAACUGAGUUAUUCUGAUUUCCUUCACAUCAAAAUUCUUGUUCUUGUUGUUGAUGUUGUUGUUCACUUCUGGGUAUAUAUCUACCUCACCCAACAUCACCUCCCCUUGAUACACCACCGAUUUAUACAUUUUUUGUUUUUGGGUCCCUUCAAAUCACAAAAAGAAACAGUCUUUGGGAAAUUUCAUCAAUAACUAGUAGUAUUCAUCAUCAUAAUUGGCGUCAAAAUCGGUUUAAAAUUCAUCUGAUUUACAAAAUAUAUAAAAUAGAAUGAAAAAUUAGGCCAAUUUUUAGAUCCGUGAAUUGAAAGUGAUGGUGACGGCGAUUUGGGUGAAAAUUUGAUAAUAGUAAUAAUAUUCGAUUUGAUCGAUGAACCCUAAUUCAAUUUGCGCCUGAUUGUGAAUCUCCGAUAGAAUUGUAGUAUUGAUUAGAGGGAGGUGGUGAUUAGGGUUUGAAGAUUGGGGUUUUUUGUGAAGAUGAUGAUGAAAUUGAGAUUCAAGAGAGAGCGUCACAGAAACCCUAGAUCCAGAAAACGAAAGGUCAGAAAUAGUACUCGCACUUGCACAACCUAAUGCGUUUGCCACUUCCAAUUAAAUAAUACUCCAAAAAUUAACAAAAGCCUUGUUUAUUUUUGGCUAAAUUAUUCUUCUUUUUUUUAUGAAAGCUAAAAAUAAAAAAUAUCUCUUGACCAAAAAAGAAGAAGUUAUUUUAGUUUUUUUUUAUCCAAAUUUAAUAUUGUAGAAAUACACAUUUUAUUUUAGAUUCUCGAAUUUUUAUCCACUUUAGGUAAUCCUAUAUGAUAAUAUAUGUGAAGCAUUUUUAUAACAUUAUUUGUCAUCUUAAGGGUUUUAAUAUCUUCUAUUAGUAUCAACUAAUGGUUUACAAAUUCGCAAUUUUACCUUCUUAUUUUGUAUAACAUCUGUCACUUUACCUAAGAUAACACGACAUUUCUUUCAAUAAAGAAAGAGGAUAAAAUGCACGUGAGCAUUAUUCGCGUUAAAUGCUUAGACGCACUCUGACCAACACAUGCACGUAUCAAUUAAUACGUUCUCUUUUCAUUAAAGAACAUAAAAGGCAACCAACUCAAUGAAUAAUAAUCUCUCUCUCUCAAAGUAUCGACGAAAAAUCUUUAGAAUAACCAGCCACUUGUUACCCUCUGCCAAAAUGCAUCCUACGUUGCCAAUCACGAUGUGGCCGUCCGGCCACACUGGUAAGCCACCCCCUCGUUUGACCACCACAUAUCACAAGCUUCAUGUCAUUUUCCACUAUAUCCAUUUGUUUAAAUUAAAGAUUUAAGGGUUAAUUAAGUUUUUGGUCCCUAUAAAUAUCUUAAGUUUUGUUUUUAGUCCCUAUAAAAUAAAUCACACUUUUUAGUCCCUACAAAAUUUUUUGUUAUUGUUUUUAGUCCCUGUUAAAUUAAAAUUUGUUUAAUUAUGCUUAAAAUUUUAAAUUUUUUAAUGAUUUUUUACAUACUUGUUUAAAACAUUAUAAAAGGUUCCGCCAUAAUAAAUUAGCUCAAAAUUUUAUUUUUANNNNNNNNNNNNNNNNNNNNNNNNNNNNNNNNNNNNNNNNNNNNNNNNNNNNNNNNNNNNNNNNNNNNNNNNNNNNNNNNNNNNNNNNNNNNNNNNNNNNNNNNNNNNNNNNNNNNNNNNNNNNNNNNNNNNNNNNNNNNNNNNNNNNNNNNNNNNNNNNNNNNNNNNNNNNNNGGACCAACACAUACUUUUAGUCCUUGUAAAAUUAAAAUUUGCUUAAUUGUGCUUAAACUUUUAAAUUUGUAACAUAUUUUUCACAUACUUACUUAGAAUAUUAUACAAAGUUCCUCCGCAAAAAAGUAACUUAAAAUUUUAUUAUUAGGUCCAAAUUUUCAUUAAUAUAAUCUUGAAAUUUUGGCUUUUAGAAAAAUUCAUAUUUAAUUCAUUACAUGUUAAAUUUAUUUUUUUUUAUAAAAAAGUAUCUUACGAUGUUAUGAACAUGUAUGUAAAAAAUCUUUCAAAAAUUUAGAAGUUUAAGCAUAAUUAAACAAAUUUUAAUUUAACAGGGACUAACAGCACUAACAGAAAAUUUUGUAGGGACUAAAAAAUGUGAUUUAUUUUUAUAUGGACUAAAAACAAAACUGCAGAUAUUUAUAGAGACCAAAAACUUAAUUAACCCAAAAUUUGAAAAAAAAUUAUAAAAAAAAAAAAAAAAAAACUCAUAUAACACCUACAACGUGAAGUUCACUAACUCCACAAGUCUACCAAUAAUUAAUAACACCUCGCAAAAUAUCACUUAAGCCCUAGCUUCCACAAAGAAAAAUGAAAAAGGUAGCCUUCAAAAACUUUUUUUUUAUAAUGUCAAUUUAUCUUAUAGAAUUUAAUCGGUAAAUAGUUGAUGUUUGAUGUUGUAAUUAAAAGAAAGAGAUAUAUGCAAAUUGUGAGAACUUAUGAAACUGAGGAAAAAGGAUGGUUGCCUUUAUAGAUUAUUUUUCGUGACACGUGGAAUUGAUUGAAGUCGAAACAUGGUUAAAAUGUGUGUUUGGGGUUUUUCACAGUUAAUUAAAAUGAUUAAAUAAAAGAUAUUUUUUAAAAACGAGAAGAGUCGGUUAUCAAGUCCACAAUUUAAAAAAUUAGGAAAUGUGACUAGGAAUUCUCAAGUGUGUUCGUCUGUGUUUGCACUGCGUUUAAAGCUAGCAUUUUCCAAUGCAUAAUAACAUGAUGGAAUUUUUAUAGGAAAAUAAUAUAAUUAUGAGUGGUGUGUUACAGGUCCAUAUCCAAGCUUUGAAAAACGACAAAUUUGAACUUAAAUUUAUCAGUGCCUCAGGGUUGGAUUGUCUUCCUUCUUCGAGUUUGAAGUUGGAGAUUGUAACUUGUAUUUAUAAAGAUGCACCUUAAUUUCAUAAGUUACAACCUCUUCUUUUUCUUUGUCUUAGGUUGUUGUAUCUUUGAAUUCUUACUUCUUCUCUUUGAUGUUGCAACUUCAUCUUUCUUUACUGGACCGUUCAUAUAAGGCUCCUCUUUAAGCUUAAUUCUUUCUUUUUGUUCUUCCUACUCAACAUAUGCAGUUAGGAUACCCCAUCCCUUCGAUCAACAGCUCAUUUCUUCGAAGUUGUAGCUUCCGGAGUGGACGCUACAUUUUUCUGCCACUUAAGUGCUGGAGUUGUUAUAUGACCAACAAGUUCCAUAAUGUAUGUUCUGGAAACACAGGAAAGUUUUCCUUACAGUAGAUUUUCAAGUUAGAAACUAAAUGCUUUAAUGUUUCUCUACAAUUCUACAUUAUCCUUCUCGAACGCAUCAAACUUCGUUUCUUCAGGCUAAGAGCUUCAGCUUCCUGCAUAUUUAAUUAUGCCUCCAAAAUGUAAUUCGGGACUAUAGGAAAUAAACCUUGGAAAUCCCACUUUAAAACCCAUUUUUUCAACGAUAUUUCCCCCCUUUUCUUCAUUUAAUUCUAAAAUCCUUUUUAUUCAUUAGUGUCCUCCUCAAAUUCUUGCAUGGUGAUAAAGUGAUAUGUAGACAAAUGUUAUGUUGAUGCUUUAACAUCUACCAUUUUUUUAUUUAUGCUCAAUUGAGUGGCAGUUGGGACGCAAGUUUAAUAACUUCUCUUUUCAACACCAUUUUAUUGCACACUUGUGGGGAUGGGUAAAAGGUUUGGGUGUGGAAGAGAAAAAAGGUUUAGAUGGGUUGGUGAAAAUGAUGGUUUAAAUAAAUAUGAGGCGUGUGAAGGAAAGAUAAAAAAAAUGUGAACGGAAUGUUAAAUGGAAGGUUGGGGAUUUUUGGUUUUUGAAAAUGAGAGGUUUUGGGUGGUUGAGGUUGAUGAUGAUGGGUGCUACGGUUUUUUAAGGUAGUGGAGGUCAGAAAAGUGAUUUGGUCGAGGGGUAAAGGUUAGUGAGGGGAUAAAUGGACGGUUAGAUGAUGGAAUUUUGGGUGUGUGGGGAGGUAAUGGAUGGAUAAAAUGUGCAAAAAGGACAACGAUGUAUGUCACUCGUUGUCUUAGGUGAGAGAAUUUGUACCUUAUAUUCAAAACUUGCUACGACUCAAAUUUUCUUUUUGGAAUGUAAAUUUUAAAAUCUGAGGCCACUUACUCCUUUUUCUUCAACAUUUAUCACAUGAACAAAACUUGUUGUUCGAAGUUGCAACUUCCAGACGAGAGCUGCAUCUUUUUGUAUCUUUCAUCUUGUAAUUGGAAGAAAAAAAAAAUGACGCAUUAAAAAUUUAAAAAUGGGAGUGUGAACACUCCCUUUAUUAAGGGUUGCCUCCCCUUAAGCGAUUCUUUACUGCAUUAGCUUGACAAAUCAACACUCAAAUUAGGGUGGAUAACAUGACAAGAAAAAUAUAACCUCAUUCCUCUUCUUUCCUUUAGGUAGAAAUCCCAUAUACUAUGGUACCAAGUGUUCCUAUGCCCCCAUAACAUGACCAUCAGAACACACUCGAGGAGGAUACCUUUCUUAAAACAUCAAGGGUUGAGUCUUAACAACUGCAUGAAUUAUUUAAUCAUCCUCCCUAGGUUUUAAUAGCACUAACUACUUACAAAUCUACUUCUACUUCAACUUCUACAUCUAAGACCACGAUAUGUUUUUCUUCCGCUCUUUCAUCAAAACAUUGUUUAGUCGCUAACUAUAUUCUCUUAACAUUGAUUGGUGAAUCGACUACAUUAUCCCAACCCGACAGCAACCUUUGGUGAACCGACUGCAUUAUCCCAACCCGACAACAACCUAUAAGCAAACAAGGUGCUAGUGCGGAAAGAAUUCAGGGUCAAUUAGAAAAUGUGGGCAAUGAUGGCACUCAUGACUAACAACAUGUCUAAUCAUGGUUAGAUGCACCGUACAACCACAAUUUACUCUUGUGUUUCUCCACUCAAUUCAUUCGUAAGAAAGAGUGUUUUCUUAAUUGAGAAUUGCCAUUUAUUAUGAGCCAUGUCAAGGAAGAAAUGCAAGAACACAACAAUGUUCUUUUUUCUUUGUCCAUUUUACUACCGCCGUUUUAAAUUAAUUGUCAGUUAUUUUUGUUCUCCUAUUGAUAAAAAACACUGGUUUUAUUUUUUAUUAAGCAAAUUAGUGACUGGAGCUCACAUAUUUUAAAUGUGAAUAAGUUAAAAGUGGGGUGCGUGAGGUUCGAACUUAGCCCAUGCAUAUAUUAUGCAACGUCCUUGACAAAUGAGAUAAGUUCACAAAAAAAAAAGCUUAUUGGUUUUGUUUACAUGCUCGGAAAAAAUUAAAAUAACAUUUUCCUAAUAAAAAUACAUAAAGAUAAAUAUUUACGUUUGGAGGCUAUAUUAAUUUUAUUUAAAAAAACGUUGAAAAUAUAACUCUUUAAUUAGUUUAUUUUGUAAAAAAAAAAUCUGUUUAAAAAGUUAGUUUUUUUUUUUUUAGGAAAUUUUAAAAAGUUUGUUGAAAAUUAAAAUCCUGAUAUUAAGUAGUUACUGUAGUGACAAAAAGUGUUUUGAGAAUUUCUGCUGACACAUAUUUAUUGGUUGAGAAACAAGAGUAAUUUACCCAAAUGCCUAUCGGCAGUUAACUGCCGAAUUAUGGAACCGGCUGCAGUUAACUGCCGAGGAAAACUUCGACAGUAAACUAUCGAGGAAAAUUAAAAACUUCGGCAGUAACUGCCGAGGAAACCUCAAACCUAUUUUUUUUUUUUGUUGAUAAAAACCAUAAAUUAUCAUUAAUAAUAUUUAUUGAUUUUCAAUGUUUCAAUCAAUACUUUAGUACGUUUCAAACAAUUGCAGUAUUAUACUCAUGCAUAUUUUUACACUUAUCGAUAGUUUACCGCCGAAGUUUACCACGAUAGUUAUUAACUAUCAAAGAACAUUUCAGUAAAUUACUUGUAUAACAGAGCCUUAUGCAAUCUGUCAACAACAUUCUCAACCGAAUCAAAAGUUCAAAAUAACGAAACAAGCCUCCUCAUCGUAUCGUAUGUUACCUACCAGUUAGAAAAACACUGCACUGACCCACAAAUUGCACACAAUUUCAUAACACUCAAAUUUCAAAUUUUCUCAAUUCUUUCUUUCAAUUCUUCUUCUUCUUGUUCUUCGAAUUCUUCGUUCAGCUCAGAAACCUGAAAAUUUCUCAUUCUUCCUUUUCUUUUUGUUGAAUUUCCGAAAAAGCCCUCAUCUUGUCGAAAAAUGCCAAAUCGAAAUUCAUCAACAUAGCCGCCACCAACCACCACACAACCCACCGUAAACCACCGAUCUCCGAUUUCAAAAUGAUUGUUCGCACAUACAAUCGCCGCAAACCAUCAAUUACCGGAACGUAUUCAUCCUCUUCCCUAAACGACGACGUAUCAGACUCCCUUUCCCUUUCCCAAUCCCAAUCCCAAGACCCACUCUACCCCGAUUUCGCUUUCUCUUCUCAAGAUUCUUCCUCUCAGUGGUCUUUCUUCGAUUCCGACCCCAAUUCAAUCGACGAUUUUGGUUACGGCUGUCGCCGGGAGCCAAAGAGGGCAAAAAACGCAUCCACAAAAAACGGAUUCUCGUAUCCGGCGACGUCGACGUUGAUGGAGGCGCAGGAGUUUGGGGAGAUGAUGGAGCAAAAUGAUGAGGUUAAUUUCGCUCUUGAUGGGCUUCGGAAAGGUCAACCGAUUCGGAUCAGAAGGGCUAGUUUGGUUUCUCUUUUGUCAAUUUGUGCCACAACACAGCAAAGAAGGCUUCUUCGUUCUCAAGGGUAUGGAGAUUUUUCACUAAAUCUUUUGAAUUUUAACGUAUCUUGCGUUUUGUUUGAAUUUCUUCUUUUGUGUUGUGUUUCUUUGUUGGGGUUUAUUCAAAAUCUUGAAUUUUGAAUUUUAAAUUUGGGCUUGCGUUUAAAUUUUAAAAUUUUAAAUUGUUUUAAUGUUGUUAGUUUCUUUGUUUUAGAUUGGAAUUUUGAACUCGCUCUCUCAUAUAGAAAUUUUACCAGUAUGAAUGUUUAGCUGAUCAAAUACCAAUUAUUAUUUAUGCUUUAUUUAUAGGAUGGCAAAGACAAUAGUUGAUGGAAUUUUGGGUCUCAGCCUUGAUGAUUCUCCCAGCAAUCUUGCAGCUGCAACCCUUUUCUACAUUUUAACCAGUGAUGUAAGUUGUUUUGAAUUCCGUUAAAGGUAGAAAGUCUUCAUUUUUUUUCCAGUAUGAAAUGAAAUGAAUGUUAUACUGUAAUUUUAAUUAAUGAUAAGUUUUUUUUGGAUUCUUUUGCUCUCUCUCUCUCUCUCUCUCUCUCUCUCUCUCCACUUGUUUGAUUCUACAUCUGAAAGAAAUCUUAGUACUCCUCAAUGGUGUGAUUCUGAGUUUUAAAGAACAGUGAUAUUGAUGUAUGGUUGCUUUCUUUAUUUGUUAUAGACUUCUCAAU
rnacentral:lncRNA from 1 species